AAAGAAUUAACAGUAUAAUUAGGAGUAGCAAAAGCCCAGGCAAAACGAAGCAAAGCACUCCAAAUUCCAAAAGCAGUAGCCAAAGCUCGUACCUUUCCUUCUCCUUUCAUCAGAAUUAGGGUUUCUGCGGACGAUUCAGGCAUAUUCAAGUUCUUAAUCUAUAUGUCAUUAAGCUCCUGAUAGAGGGAAGAGAAAAUGGCGGUGGAAGAUUUGUGCCCGCCGUCUUCUGAAAUUUGCACAGUACCGAAUUCUGAGAGUCCUGAACCAGAUGUGGAGCUGGGUUGUUCACGGAAAAAGAAGAAAAAUAAGAAGAAAAGGUGUAAACUUGAAAGCAAUGAUAAGAGUUGUGAAAGUCCCUCCCUACAGUCUCAAUUUGUACAGCUCUCAGAUCAAGAAGCACUACAACCACUUACAGAGAAAAGUAAUACAAUAGCAGAUUCAGAAAAUCCCCAAUCAAAUGUGGAGCCGAGUCUUUCAACAAAAAAGAAGAAGAAGAAGAAGAAGAAGAAAGGGUCUAAAACCACUGAGACCAAUGAUACAAGUUGUGAAAGUCCUUCCCAACAGCCUCAACUUGUACAGCUUUCAGAUCAACAAGCACCGCAACCACUUGCAGAGAAAAUUACUACAAUAACAGAUUCAGAGAGUCACCAGUCAAAUGUGGAGCUGAGUCUUUCACAAAAUAAGAAGAAGAAGAAGAAGAAGAAGAAGAAUAAGAGGAAGAACAAGAAAGGGUGUAAAACCCCUGAGACAAAUGAUAAAAGUUGUGAAAGUCCCUCUAUACAACCUCAACUUGUACAAGCAACAGAUCAAGAGGUAGAAGUGCCACAACGCAUUGAGGCCGUACAGCCUCAACUUGCACAAGUGACGGAUCAAAAGCUAGAAGUGCCACAACCCAUUGAGGAUUCGAGUUUCUCAGUGAAAAACAAGAAAAGGAAUGGGAAGAAAAGCCGUAAACCCCAUGACUGUAAUGAUGAAGUGUGUGGCGUUUCUGUUGGUACUUCUGUUAUGGAAAGUAAUGUGCCAGCAGUAGAUCCAUAUAUAAAGCCUUCUGUUGAAAUAUCAUUGGAGCAGCUUGUUGCGGAGCCACUUGUGAAGGGAAUGAGUACAACAGCAAACUCAAAAAGGCCCAAACCCAAUGCAGAUUUUGGCUGCUCACAAGAAACGAAGAAAAAGAAUCCAAAGAGAAAUUGCAAAACCAAUGAGAAUAAAGAGCUAUUGGUGGAAACAAUGUCGCCAGAAGCAGAUCUAUCUCUUCAGCCUCCUCUUGCAAUAUUCUCUGAACAAGAGGUAGAGGUGGCACAACCACUUAAUACUGGUACAGUGUGGAAAGAAACCAAGAUUGAUGAAGUUCCUUCCUUGUCACAUUUGGCUCCAAAAGCUGAUACUGAAGUAGUUGCUAUCGGUAGAGAGGGCAAUCUUUCUCAGAAAAAGCUUCUGAUUCUUGAUAUUAAUGGGCUGCUUGCUGAUAUUGUCCAGAUGGAAGUUUUUAUCCCCAGUAGUUUUAAACCAGACAAAAUAAUAUCACGGAAAGCAGUUUUUAAGAGGCCAUUUUGCGAUGAUUUUCUACAGUUCUGCUUUGACAGAUUUAAUGUGGGUGUGUGGUCUUCAAGAACCAAGGAAAAUGUGAACUCGGUGAUAGAUUUUCUUUUGGGGGAUUCGAAACAUAAAUUACUCUUUUGCUGGAACCAAUCGCACUGCACUUCUACCAGUUUCAAGACGGUGAAGAACAAGAAUAAGCCCCUCGUUUUGAAAGAGCUUAGAAAAUUCUGGGAGAAGCUUGAGCCUGAUCUUCCUUGGGCGAGAGGAGAGUACAAUGAAUCCAACACAGUAUUAUUGGAUGAUUCUCCAUACAAGGCUUUGUGCAAUCCGGUGAACACCGCCAUAUUCCCCAAUUCAUAUCAGUUCAGGAACAGAAAAGAUUCUUCAUUAGGACCUGGAGGCGAUAUCCGUUCUUACCUGGAAGGGUUAGCUAUGGCUGAGAGUGUCCAAAAAUAUGUGGAACAGAAUCCAUUUGGUCAGCAACCCAUAACGAAAUCAAAUCCUUCUUGGAACUUCUAUAGGAGAGUUAUAGAGGAUGUAAAACCCCUGAGAUGACUCGGCCUUUUUCAUGCCUUGGACCCAUCGAUGUUUUGCAGUACCAUACCAGACAUGCAGGGUUGUGAAAUAGGUGCCACCAUCUUUAACUUGAUGCAGAUACUUGGGGUUGUUGACAGUUGAUGGAAAUUUGUUACCCAACCACCAUGUUCUGCAAAUCUUAUACUUUGAGUUUGAGGAAAAUCUUCUGGGGUUGCUUUGUUAUAUUUCCAGCAGGGAUACAACACCCCAACCAAAUUUGAUUCCAUGUGCCUGCCUUGAUUCAGCUAUCAGUUACCGUUAUGCUUAGCUUGUUUGAAAUGUACAUCUCUUGCACCAACCAAACUUAAACCCACUUAUAUAACCAGCAAUUGGUCCAUGUCUAUUUAUGUGCCUGGUUCAAAGUAACAGCUACUGAAGCCAAUUAGUUAAUUAGGCAUAUCUAGAAUCUUGUGUUCUCUGUUUGCAAGUUUUUGAAGGCUAUCGAUGGUUGGUACUGGCUGAACCACGUCAAAGUGACUGACGAAGAGGGAAUCAAGGAAUGGUAAUCACAGCUUAAUCAGCAUUUACUGUCAUUAAUGUAAUUAAUAUUUCCGUUGUAAUUCUAUCCCUAUAUAAAGGGACUGAAAUUAAAUGAGUAGACAAUUCCUAUUUACCUUUACAA